ensembl:lncRNA
CACAAGAUAGAGCAGGCUUUUAAUCAUAUAAUCAUUUAUAAUUACAUCUGUUUUCCAGACAAUCCCAGACAAUCAUCUGAGUGUGGAUCAACCACGGAAGUCAAAUAGCAACAAAAGAUCACCAUCACUAUGACACACUCUCUCUCGUCAUUGAAAAACAGCAGUUGAUUAACUCCUAUUAUUGUUUUGGGAAAAAGAUAUGAGGCAAGUCAUUAUCUAUGCAAUCAAUCCCACCACAGCAACAUCUAUGUUCAACCAUUUACCAGUGAAAAUGAAACGCUUACACGCAAGUGUGUGUACACAACCCAACGUAGACACACAAACCAGGAAUUCAGAGGUGAAUUGAGAAAAUAAUCAGACCGCUGGAAUGUACCACAGGGACCCUCACUGUAUAGUCAGCUGUCAUAACUAAGUUACAACGCUUCAGCAACCCAUUGGCAGCCUAUAAUAAUAAUAAACUCUAAGGUGUCUGAGCACAGAUAGACCGUCAAAGGUUUUCAUUGCACUUCUCUGCAAAAACACUUGGAGGUUUCACUUUACAGAAUUGGCAAAAACAAAGGAAUACAAACAAAAUAUAUAGAAAAAGAAGAAGGGGGAAACAUUUACUUCUCUUUGGACACCGACAUACCAAUUACCAGCACAGAAUCACUCAAACUUUCACAUUUAGGUACCAACACUGUCAUUCAGCAUCCAUUACAUAGCAUUGCUACAGUAGACAGAGACACUUGAACGUAUGUUAGUUAACAUUUUAAAUGGCUAGUUGGCAUUCUGAAGGAAUCAGAACUCAGGUGAAGCUCAUAAUGACAUGCCCGCUUGGAUUACAUCAUCUCCCUCUUGUACAUUGUUAGAAAAAAAGGUGCUAUCUAGAACCCAAAAGGGUUCUUCAGCUGUCCCCAUAGGAUAACGCUUUGAAGAACCCUUUUGGGUUCCAUGUAGAACCUUUUUGGGUUCCAUCUGGUUUUUACACGGAACCCAAAAGAGUUCUACCUGGAACCAAAAAAGGGUUCUCCUAUGGGGACAGCCUCAGAACCCUUUUGGAACCGUUUUUACUAAGAGGGUACACAACAACAUCCUCCUGCCAACCGAUACCAAAGAAAAGGAAAACAAGUUUGAACAUCUGUGUUAGCGUGCAGUACUAACAUGCACACUGCAGGUUAAUGAACCUUUAUGGUAAGAGGGAUAAGGGUGAAUAUGAUAUUUCCCCAAGCAGGGAGACGAGUGCAGGCUGGUGCAGGCUAGUGACCUGGGGGAGUGUUGAAUUCUGGGAUAUGGAGCUGGGGAGAAGUACGAGACGUGAUAGAGAUUUGACAGAUAUAGCCCUUCACACUCUUCCACACUGGUCACCUCUACCUCUAUCCCUGCAGGGGGACUGGAGGUUGGACCCCCCUCUCUUUCCUCCCUGCUAGCCUGAUAUCCUGACCUGGGGCUACUCUCCUGAGGGUCCCCUCCUCCCCUGUAGAUCUGCUGCGGUUUCCUAUUAGCCUGGUCCCAGAAUCGUUUGUGCCAUCUUACUAACUCUCUAUGGUCUAGUUGGCAAGAUGGCACAAACGAUUCUGGGACAAGGCUCAUCUUCUACACCUCAAAACCUUGUGAAAUCACUCACUAAGGAACAGAGAGAGAGAAUCCCCUCAUCUGCUUGUUCCUACUGUCUGUAAACACAAUAUUAGGGGGUCUUGAUGGGAUGAGCUUUAAUCUGUAUGACUUAAACAAAUCAAUUGUAACGUCAAUUGACUAUGCGAUGAGACGGCACGAGUCACGCCAAUCGGAAAACACUGUAGUCCUCCUCGGAAAGAAGCUCUGAACAUCCUUUUAUUUCUUUACAUUUUUUAUUUUUUACAUCGGUCCUUCUGUUGUCUCGUGAAAAGAAAAAUGAGUGGCCGACGUGUCGUCACUGAAUGUCGUGUGUGGAGCAGAAUGUACAUGUUGACCCGAGUCUUCAAGCAGCGAUUAACACUGACGAUGUCACACUCCUUGGCAUCAUGGUCCCAAACACCACUACCUCCCUCCACUUCUCGUCUGAACACCUUUAACGAUGACACACCUACUACACUGGUACAGCAGCUCUUUAGAUUUAGACUUAACCAACCAUAGCUGCUAACAGCAUCAGAAACAUGGUGUCACGCAAUGUUACAUUUUUCACUUAGAAAUCUUUUUAAGAUUUAUUCAAUAAAUUAGACCUUUUCACUACGGUAGGAUGAUAAUUGACAACUAUGUCCUUCUGCACAGGUAAUAGAAUGAGGCGCGUUGCUACGUUUUACAAAGUGCUCCUGACAAGGCUUCUCUUCACCCAGGUGCUUCUCUUCACCCAGGUGUAGGAGUCAGACAGACAGAUGACCUAGAAGGGGGGGAAGGAAGAAAAAAGUAGGCUUAAGGCUUCCGCAUGCUUCUGUUUGGCUGGCGCCUAGCUGAGCUCGGCUAGGCUAACCGAACGAGUGUGCUCGCAUAGCCACUUUAAAAGACCUUUGCUUGUAAAUUGGAACGAAAAGCAUCAAUAGUACUGUUUGUCUAUCUUGAGACGGCGUAGCCAGUAUACACUUCCUCAAAAUAGUCUGAAUUAAUAUAACUCUUUUCCUGAGGAUAUCUUAGUCUUGCAAUUUUACAUCUAACUAAGAUGUUUGGUACAGUAUUUCUCAAUGCGAAAAUGAGCAUGAAAACAAGUCAUCUGUCAUUGAAUGACAACAAAGACUUUUCUGAAGAAUCCCUACUGUUGAAAAAUCAGAUGAAGGCACAUAGAUUUCGGCUACCGACUUCGGCUUGCUUUAAGAAAAACAUUUGUGUGUCCGAACAACUGAAAAAAACAACUUUACCCGAGUCCAAAACUAACAAAAACGACAGAUUGUCCCGAACACAACCGUGAAUUCACAUUGAUUCAGUGUUCCUUCCAUUUUUUAUGUGCAUUAGCAACUCACAACAAAAAAUAAACAUAGCCAAGUGAUCCCAGUUCUUCUCCCGACAUUCUCUUUUCCCUUCAGUAUGUGUCUCUCAAUUUCGAUCCGACCGCUCCCUCUACACACACUCUUGCUGACUCUGCAUGACUGCAGCGGGUUUACUAACACAUUAGUUAUAGUAGCUAUGUUGACUACGACGUUAGCUGAUAUGGUGACAAAUAUGUAGGCUGUGUGUAGCGGUUAUGAUAUGGUAUGAUAAUGUUUGGCUUGGAAAGUUGUUGUGUUUGGCACUGAUGUCCACAAGCAAAGGGAAAAGGUGAGAGGAGGUGAUAGAGCAUAUAUGCUGUAAUAGAAAUAAGGCCACGCUCAUUGAAAUAGGCACCGACCGCCACUGGGUUACAACCCCCCCCACCUAAACAUAGGCAG